GUAGGGUGCGAGCGUUAAUCGGAAUUACUGGGCGUAAAGGGUGCGCAGGCGGCGUCGCAAGUCAGGCGUGAAAUCCCCGGGCUUAACCUGGGAAUGGCACUUGAAACUACGAUGCUGGAGUAUGGCAGAGGGAGGUGGAAUUCCACGUGUAGCGGUGAAAUGCGUAGAGAUGUGGAGGAACACCGAUGGCGAAGGCAGCCUCCUGGGCCAAUACUGACGCUCAUGCACGAAAGCGUGGGGAGCAAACAGGAUUAGAUACCCUGGUAGUCCACGCCCUAAACGAUGAUGACUAGUUGUUGGAGGAGUUAAAUCCUUUAGUAACGCAGCUAACGCGAGAAGUCAUCCGCCUGGGGAGUACGGUCGCAAGAU
rnacentral:rRNA from 1 species